UACGUAGGGUGCGAGCGUUUGUCCGGAAUUAUUGGGCGUAAAGAGCUUGUAGGCGGUUUGUCGCGUCUGCUGUGAAAAUCCGGGGCUCAACCCCGGACUUGCAGUGGGUACGGGCAGACUAGAGUGCGGUAGGGGGAGACUGGAAUUCCUGGUGUAGCGGUGAAAUGCGCAGAUAUCAGGAGGAACACCGGUGGCGAAGGCGGGUCUCUGGGCCGAUAUUGACGCUGAGGAGCGAAAGCGUGGGGAGCGAACAGG
rnacentral:rRNA from 1 species